GAGGGGUGCAAGCGUUAUUCGGAUUUAUUGGGCGUAAAGGGUGUGUAGACGGUAGAUUAAGUCAACUGUUAAAUUCUUCGGCUUAACCGAAGACCUGCAGUAGAAACUGAUAUACUAGAGGAUGGAAGAGAGAAGUGGAAUUCUCGGAGUAGCGGUAGAAUGCGUAGAUCUCGAGAGGAACACCAAUGGCGAAGGCAGCUUCUUGGUCCAUUCCUGACGUUGAUACACGAAAGCGUGGGGAGCAAACAGGGAUUAGAUACUCUGGUAGUCCACGCCGUAAACGAUGAUCACUAGACGUCAGCUCUGGUUUACAGGGUUGGUGUCGUAGCUAACGCGUUAAGUGAUCCGCCUGGGAUUACGGUCGCAAGGCUA
rnacentral:rRNA from 1 species